CGACUAAGCGUACACGGUGGAUGCCCUGGCAGUCAGAGGCGAUGAAGGACGUGCUAAUCUGCGAAAAGCGUCGGUAAGGUGAUAUGAACCGUUAUAACCGGCGAUGUCCGAAUGGGGAAACCCAGUGUGAUUCGUCACACUAUCGUUAACUGAAUACAUAGGUUAACGAGGCGAACCGGGGGAACUGAAACAUCUAAGUACCCCGAGGAAAAGAAAUCAACCGA
rnacentral:rRNA from 2 species